GACGAACGCUGGCGGCGUGCUUAACACAUGCAAGUCGAACGGUAAGGCCCUUCGGGGUACACGAGUGGCGAACGGGUGAGUAACACGUGGGUGAUCUGCCCUGCACUUCGGGAUAAGCCUGGGAAACUGGGUCUAAUACCGGAUAGGACUCCUGGCUCCAUGGUUGGGGGUGGAAAGCUUUUGCGGUGUGGGAUGGGCCCGCGGCCUAUCAGCUUGUUGGUGGGGUAAUGGCCUACCAAGGCGACGACGGGUAGCCGGCCUGAGAGGGUGACCGGUGACACUGUGACUGAGAUACGGCCCAGACUCCUACGGGAGGCAGCAGUGGGGAAUAUUGCACAAUGGGCGCAAGCCUGAUGCAGCGACGCCGCGUGAGGGAUGACGGCCUUCGGGUUGUAAACCUCUUUCAGCUAUGACGAAGCGCAAGUGACGGUAGUAGCAGAAGAAGGACCGGCCAACUACGUGCCAGCAGCCGCCGUAA
rnacentral:rRNA from 1 species